rnacentral:rRNA from 1 species
GGGUCAGUAGGUUGGUCGUGCCACCGGUACGUACUGGUCUCACUGAUUCCUCCUUCCUGAAGAACCGUAAUGCCAUUAAUUUGGUGUUGUGGGGAAACAGGACUGUUACUUUGAAAAAAUUAGAGUGUUUAAAGCAAGCUAACGCUUGAAUACAUUAGCAUGGAAUAAUGAAAUAGGACGAUCGAUCCUAUUUUGUUGGCUUCUAGGAUUGACGUA